GCUCGAUUAGGCUCGCGAGCCCACUAAAUUGUUCAUGAGUUGAGCUCGAGCUUCAUUUUAAGGCUCGAAUCGAGCUCAAGCUCGAGCUCGAGCUUCCUCAAAUUAAACAAGCCGAGCUCGAGCUUGGUCAGGCUCGGGCUCGGCUCGGCUCGUUUACACCCCUAGAGCAGAGGACCCACCUUUCUCAGGUGGUAGAGGUGUUUCCCUAGCGGUGGAGGUGUUGGUCAUCAUGAGAAAGAUGUUGUACCACACAGGAGAGUCCGAGGAAAAGCGAAAAACCUAAAGCUCGAAAGAGCGCUCUUACAGAAUAAUGGAAAACCAAUUGACAUGGACUUUGAUAGGAAUAUGACAUAUGAUCACGUAGGAGAGCCGAAUGACAAUUUUGCACGCAAUGUUGGAAAAUACUGUGGCGGAUGGUCCCUUUUGAUAAAUGGACUUGGAAAAAAAUUCCCCCCGUGCUAAAGGAUACUGUAAAACACCAUUAAAGGACAAAGUUUUAUUUGGAUGGGAUGUUACUGAUGGGUUUUAAGCAUUACAACAUUCCUAUGGUGCACUUCCAACCCUAAUUGCUUUGGAUCUAGGUUUUUCUCAAGUUAUGCAGGUCAAAGAUAAACAGGUACAGACGCAGCGUUUUUGGAGAAGAUGGAGCACACAAGACCCAUCUCUUAUUUUUGAUUUACUUUUGGGUGAUUGUUAAAUAUUACAAAACACGCUUGUAAUUAAACUCACUAUGUAAUACUAUGGUUGUAUGUUUCUUGUUUCUACCAUUAUGCAAUUGUGAUGAUACUGUUCGCUACGUCAUCCACCCCGAAACAUAUU